UAACUGUGAGACAUGAAGAAACACUUAGGGUGCUCAGCUACCACCAAGCUGGCCUCUUUAGCAGCACCCCGAGGAGACUCCACCCAGAGGACUGCGUCCAGCUCUGGAGCCCUCAGCACAGGAAAGACAUGGACCCGUUGGAGCAACUCCAGGUACUGUAGCUGUAGUCCUUACAUCUAAGCAGGAAUCUGUCAGGAAGAACGAGCCCCUUCAGUUUUCACCACCCCGUGUCUCUGAGCUGCUGCGAUCAUCUCAGGCGGCUGGGGUCCAUUGCAGAAGAAUAAAGCUGAAGACGGCUUCAAUCCUUCCCCCCUCCCUCUGCAGCAGGCAUUUCACGCCAACUAAAGCAAAGCCUACGAUAUUAGUUACAAAUCAAGUCAGCUUAAUAGGAGCACUGGAGUAUUUCUGGAAGAUCAGAGCCAGUCCCUCUUCUGCCUUCAUUAACAGCCCCUGGUGCUGGAGAGAUUUUUCUCGUGUUAGGAGCUAACUUACUUAGGGCUUGCA